rnacentral:rRNA from 1 species
CCUACGGGAGGCAGCAGUGAGGAAUAUUGGUCAAUGGACGAGAGUCUGAACCAGCCAAGUAGCGUGAAGGAUGACUGCCCUAUGGGUUGUAAACUUCUUUUAUAAAGGAAUAAAACGAGGCACGUGUGCCUUUUUGCAUGUACUUUAUGAAUAAGGAUCGGCUAACUCCGUGCCAGCAGCCGCGGUAAUACGGAGGAUCCGAGCGUUAUCCGGAUUUAUUGGGUUUAAAGGGAGCGUAGAUGGGUUGUUAAGUCAGUUGUGAAAGUUUGCGGCUCAACCGUAAAAUUGCAAUUGAUACUGGCAGUCUUGAGUACAGUUGAGGUAGGCGGAAUUCGUGGUGUAGCGGUGGAAUGCUUAGAUAUCACGAAGAACCCCGAUUGCGAAGGCAGCUUACUAAACUGUGAAUGACAUUGAUGCUCGAAAGUGUGGGUAUCAAACAGGAUUAGAUACCCCGGGUAGUC